AUAAGGAUUUCAAGCUGAAAGUUGCUUGUUAUUCAAUUGAGUCAGGACAAACUCGUCAUACUAUUAGUCGGGAUACUGUAGCAAAGAUUGCAAAUGAGAAACAUGAGGAUGUUGUUAUGCAUUAUUAGAAGUCUAGAGUUAGUAAUGUGUGUAGUGACAUAAAAUCCUCUUUUGUAUAAAAGGGUAGUCUUUUUGUAAAUCCCAACUUUUGG
rnacentral:lncRNA from 1 species